ensembl:lncRNA
UAACAUUACAGUUAAUGUUAGCCAUAGAUGUUCUUGUUUUGUUUCAGAACUAGUUACGACCUUUUACGUAGAUAGGUUUUCCAUCCAACUCAUUUGCAUCUUUUAAGCGCAUUCAUGAAAAUACGGCUAAACAAAAUGCAAAUCAUGGCCACAUGCCUUUUCUAAUCUACAAAACAAUAGACUACCACACAAGUUUAAUUGUCAUAUCGUUAGAUAUUUGAACAAGCUCAGAAGAGAUUAGCUUUUAUAAGGCACAGUAAUUAAAGAUGCUACAUUUUUCACUUAACAGGUCAGUCAUUCCCAGGCUCUGAACACAAAAGCAACAUUUCCAUGGAUAGUGGUGCAGGAGGAAGGGACAGUGGUGAUGGCACAUUGUACAUGCAUGUCAGGGUUGGGAGAGGUUUGUUCCCAUGCUGCGGCACAGAUGUACACAGUUUUGGUUGACAAGAGAGAAGGACAGGCAUGCACUGAGAAGCCAUGCACAUGGACAAAGCCGAGCACGAAAAAAGUGAAGUACGAUGAGUUGUCUAACAUCUUCGCUAACGAGGAGAAAGUUGCAAUUCAGGACAAUUUGUCACACAUCAGACCAUCUGCUGAUGAGUUCAAGUUAUUCUGUGCACAGCUCCAGCAAAGUGAAGGUCAAGAGGCAAAUCCCAAGAAAAGUGCAAUCCUCUCUGUCAUCGAAGGCCACUCCCUCAGAUACAUGCCCAAGACUGUACUAUUGGAUCUGCCAUCACCUCUGACCACUCUCUAUACAAGCACCAGACUUGAAAUGGAUUUGCCCGCACUGCUGGAGGAGGGUGCGAAGACCUUUGAUGAGCUGCAUCUCACACCGGAGCAGAUGGGGUCUCGUAAAUGAGGACACUGCCAGAGUCGUACCUGAUGGCGAUGCAGACCUCAACGUUGCAGUAUCAGGGCUUAUCAUUAACCCGGAGCUGCCAUGGAUCGGUGCAUCACCUGAUGGUGUGGUGACCCCUGCUUGCCAUGUGCCUGGAGUGUUAGAGAUCAAGUGUCCUUUCAUCACAAAAGACCGCACUCUAAAUGAAUUUGUCAAAGACUCACAGUUCUGCUUGACUGUCACUGAGGAAGGUGUAAUGAGCCUAAAGCUAGAUCACAGUUACAUGUAUCAAGUGCAGGCCCAAAUGCGUGUAGCAGAGUUAGCAUACUGUGAUUUUGUGGUGUGGACACCUCAAGAAAUUUUUAUACAGCGCAUCCCAUUUGAUGAUGUUUUUUUUUGAUGAGGCAUAUUUGAAGGUGGUGAACUUCAUUAGAACAGGGACACUACCAGAGCUGUUGGGUAAAUGCUUUACUGUACCACGCCUCUCCGCCACUGCAACCUCCGAGAAGACACCUGUGGGAUGUUACUGUGGUAAGCCUGUUGAUAAUGCAGACAACAUCCUCUCUUGCACAUCUGAGCAAUGCAGACGAAAACACUUCCACAAGUCUUGUCUGAAGCUGAGCAGAGUACCAAAGACUUGGACAUGUUUAGAGUGCAAGAAGCUCCUGUAGGUCAUCAACUUUUGUUUGCAAGAUGCUUUGUGAACCAUUUUUCUGAGAGAUUUCAAAUGUCUCAUAUACAUAAAUGUUAAAAAUAAUCUCCAAGUAGUACAAAUGUAGCUUGAUCUUUGCUCAGUAGUACAUUAUU